GGCGGUGGUUUGUGCACUGGCACCGGCGGUGGAUCAACUUUCUUCGGCGGCUUAGGUGGGCAUGGCUUCUUGGGGAUUGGCGGUGGCUUGUGUACCGGAACCGGGGGUGGGUGCUCUAUCUUUGGUGGCGGCUUGUAAACCGGAACCGGAGGUGGGUGCUCUACCUUUGGCGGCGGCUUGUAAACCGGAACCGGUGGUGGAUGCUCUAUCUUUGGCGGUUUAGGCGGACAAGGCUUCUUAGGAAUCGGCGGUGGGAGCUCCACCUUUGGAGGUGGUUUGUGAACCGGGACAGGAGGGGGAAGCUCUACCUUUGGAGGUGGCUCGUGAACCGGGACAGGUGGGGGAAGCUCUACCUUAGGCGGUGGCUCGUGAACCGGGACAGGUGGCGGAAGAUCAACCUUUGGGGGUGGGUCGUAAACCGGGACCGGAGGUGGGCAAGGUUUCUUGAAUUUGGGGAACGGUGGAAGCACCAAAGGUGGAGGUAAAGGGAAAG
rnacentral:lncRNA from 1 species